UUUUUUUGCAUAGAUGUUUGUAAAUUAUUGUUUUUAAAAAGGGUAACUUUAUUGAAAUUAUGUCAUUGCCAUUGCCAUAACUAAGAAGUUGCAAAUACAUUCAUAAAGAAAAUGUUUACAAUUUGGGGCAUAUUUUAGAUAUUGUCAUGUUUUUUUAGACUGAGUUGAAAGCCUAUGGUAAAUUUUACAUAGUCCUUUAGGGGUUUAGUGUUUAGCAUUUUCUUUUAGAAAAUUUGAGGAGUUGGACCAUCAUUGUUAAUAUUUUAGAUCUAUUUUGGUUAGAUAGGUUGUCACUUAAACAAGCUAUGUAUGUAUAUUUUUAUCCCAACUUCACCUACAUUUUACCAAACUUUAUAUUGAUGUUGUUAAUGUUCAGACCUUGCCGUCCCAUCUUUGACAUCCUUGGUACCAUUUGUUAUCCCCAAAAGUUAGGUAAAUUGUUAUAUUGAAGUUCCUUUCUUAUUUCCCAUGGGAUCAAGGUCAGUAAUUUCUAAAAUGGGGAUAUUUAUAUUGCAGUAUAUAAAAUUGAGAAUAGAAAUGGUCAGCAUAUGACCAUCUGACACCUUGACCCCAUUUUCUUUAUUUUGUUAUCUGUUUAAUUAGUUUAGGAUUAUAUCUUUUCACAAGUUACUCUACCUGACAGCUCAAGAAUAGCUAGUUUGUGAAUUUGUUGUAACAGCCAUCUCACAUCAAACACCUGAACCAUAUUUUCAUGCUCUAGUCAUUUAUAUGUUCAGGUUAUUGGUUUAGUCAGUAUCUAAGAAAUUAUACAUACAUGUAAAAGGUUUACAAAAAUGCCAUACAUUUUAAGAGAUACAUUUGCAUUUUACCAAAGUUCAGCAGGCUAGAUAUAAGUUGUAAACUCUUGUAUCCUCAAGUCUAAAUGAUGCUGAUUGUUAACACUUAUUAUUUAUGUCAUGUAUUUUUAUGAGCUUUUUGUCAUAGAUCUUUUACUGACUCACUUAAGUUGUUUUGUGUGCAUUCUAAACUAUAACUAACACAAGGGCUCAAUUGUAAUGAAAGAGGUUAAUUGCAUUUUCUAAUCUAAUAAAGAGAUUUUGUAGAGCAAUAAAAAGUUUCAGAAUUCUUCAUGACUAAUGAUUAUUUUUGAAAAGAAAAAAAACAUUUAUAGAGAUUUAAAUUUAUUAAAUGGUAUUACUUGUAUGAUAUUUAUUGAAAUUUAGUUUUGCAGUAGGAAGUAAUUUAAAUUAUUUAAAGAAGAGGGUGAUUUG
rnacentral:lncRNA from 1 species